GAGAGAGAGAGAAAUGUGUGUGUGUGUGUGUGCAUUUUUUUAACAUAACUGGGGGACCAAAAGGUCUCCCCGUGGUGAAAAACUGGUCCAGUAAGAAACUUUUUAAGGUACUGGGCGACAAGAUCUUUAGUCUUGAAAUAAUUCCUGGAGGCAGUGGCUCAUCUUGUCAGUGUGUAUUAUUUUGCGUUAAUGAGGGCGGUGGCGGCAGAGUGCAAGGUUAUGAUGUUGGUUGUCGGUAGCGGAGGUGAUGGUGGUUGUCAGCAGGGUCGGCUCUUAGCGACACCCCCAUUUUUCAUGGGUUUCGGACAAAAAUUCGUAUAGAAAAGCUUCGUGUCGCAAGUAUCCAUAGCAACUCAGGGCCGCUUUCACAGUCGUUUUGUUUGUUUUGAUCGUUACCAAUGAUCGCCGCUUUAGAAUUUCCACUCAAAACUGGCCGAUGGGGAAGUGGCGGCUGCGGGGUUAGCCCAGCCCCGCACCCUACCACACACUCUCAACACCUUGCUUCCUCUGCAGCCGCCACUACCCCAUAGGCCAGUUUCACAUGGAAAACUAUAGCGUCGAUCGGCGCCGUAGGUAACGAUCAAAACAAACAAAACGACUGUGAAAGCGGCCCUUAUUGCCAUACAAACAUGCUCACAAACUUUUUCCGUCCGUACUACUUUACACACAAGAAUUUUAUCCCUGACGAACAUUUGCGUACGGAUAAUUGCACAUGAUUUUUUUUUCUAUACUAACUUUUGUCGUUACGAAUAUUUUACAUACGUACUUUAUACCAUACGAAUAUCUGCAUACGAACUUUAGCAAACGAACUUUUACUUAAGUAUUUUUGUCAGAUGAACUUAAUCCCUGAUGCAAAUUUGCGUACAAACUUUUUGCUUACGAACAAUUUCAUACAAAACUUUUCCAUACGAACUUUUGUCGUUACGAAUAAUUUACAUACAUACUUUAUACCAUACGAACUUCAGCGUACGUACUUUUUUCAGACGAACUUUAUCCCUUACAAACAUUUGCUUACAAACAAUUGUGUAUGAACUUUAUGCAUGCGAACUAUUGUUGUGUUGAAUUUAGACAGUGAAGAGAAUUUAUUAUUUCCAAAAGCAUGUUAAUGUUUAUACAGCCUAUUAAUCCCUCACUUGAUCUGCAGAUACUGCCAGAAGAAGAAGAGGAGGAGGAAGAGGAUACAGAGGAAUCAGUUGACACUACCAAACGAAGAAGAGGAGGAGGAGGAGGAGGAAGAAGACGAGGAACACAGGAGGAACCCAUUGAGUGUGUGGUGUGCUGCAGGCAGACCGAGAUGUCCGUUCAAUUCUGCCGAGGGAAUGAAGUCAUGUUAGUCAACUCUGGUGAUUUGUACUUUUCUCUGCAAGGGACUGUUCUGUAAGCCAGUCACGGAAGAUGUGAACUGUAUCUGUACUAUGAAGUCUUAUAAAUAAAGUUAAAGGCCAAA